UCAGUUUGUGUGUAUUUAUGUAAAGCAAUAGUGUACAAUGUGUCCUGUACUGCAUGCUUAAUUUGUAUUGGUGACAGUGGGUAGUAUCAGCAUCACAUGGUCCCUAGCAGCAGUGGAGGCUCAUGGGACAGAAGGAGAUAAAAGAGGCUGGACUGACAGUUAGUGGCAGUUGGUCCUCAGUGCAGGGGAGCAGAGCUGCGCUGCAAGGUUUCCCCGGUGACCUAUGGUGCUGGACCUGUGGUUGUUUGUGCUGAAACUGGCAGUGGGGUUACCGGUGAUACCCCUGGUGUCUAUCGUGUCCUAGCAGGUGUAGUCAUGCCAAGAAGUGGACCAGGAGGCAGCAGCAGCAGGCCAGCAAGAGAGCUGGGUGGUGAUACAUAUACCUGCUAAGAGUAGAGGCAGUACAGAGGCGGGCCUGCCCCGGAGAUGUACACUUAAUUAAUGGCGCUCUGAGGAUAAGACCCUUCUCCUCAGCAAAUCAGUGGUUAAAUCAGCAGCCAUUCGGAGGCAGCCAGAGAGACUGGCCAUUGUGACUGGUACCAGAGAAAAGUAUAGCCAACCCUGAGGCAGUUGAAGAAGAUCCAGAGCUUAUACAAGUAAGGGUCUAAGCAGGGGUGUAUUUACAUUUGAUAAGGCUCAUAUGCAGCAAUCCCCUUCCUCUGAACAGUGGGCACCUCCGAUCUUGUGCCAGCAAGCAGGACACUACUCUACUGUGGCACCAUUUUUCCAGUGAUAUUCUGUGAACAAGAGAGUAAAGAGAAGGAGUUUCCCACUUGCUGACACAAGAACAAAGAUGACAUCAGAACAUGGAUAAUGCAUCAACACAUUAAAACGAAAACAAAUGCAUAUUUUAUGUUGUCAUGAUCAAGUUUUUUGGGUAUAUUUUUGUCCCUGAAGGAUUAAAAAUGGAGUUUGGAAAGACAAGGGCUAAAGAAGACUGGGAAAACAUCACAGAUGUAAAGACAAUAAAACAAUUCAUAUGUUCACCAAA